UCUCGGCAUUCCGCAAACGGGAAGGACGAAACGGCUGAAACCUGGUUCAGUGCCUAGCCUAUUCGCGCCAUUGGCGACUGAAGAAAGGGAAGCUGGGUCCCGACACGAAGCCCCUCACAGUGCUGACCCUGGCACAUGCGCGGUAGGUGCCUAUGGGGAGGUGACGGCAAGUCAACUGGAGGCAACACACGAAGGAGAUGGAGCAUCUGAAGUCACGCGUUCCACGCGAGACUUUGGCUGUCAAGUGACCACCCCGUGCAGGGAGCGAAUGGAUCGAUGCAAGAAGAAAUAAGCCAGGAAUACAGAGAGCUGCCUCACGAAUUCC